GGAUUAGAUACCCUGGUAGUCCAUGCCGUAAACGUUGGGCACUAGGUGUGGGGGACAUUCCACGUUUUCCGUACCGUAGCUAACGCAUUAAGUGCCCCGCCUGGGGAGUACGGCCGCAAGGCUAAAACUCAAAGGAAUUGACGGGGGCCCGCACAAGCGGCGGAGCAUGCGGAUUAAUUCGAUGCAACGCGAAGAACCUUACCAAGGCUUGACAUGAACCGGAAAUACCUGGAAACAGGUGCCCCGCUUGCGGUCGGUUUACAGGUGGUGCAUGGUUGUCGUCAGCUCGUGUCGUGAGAUGUUGGGUUAAGUCCCGCAACG
rnacentral:rRNA from 1 species